UGCCAAAUGAGGAAUGUUGGAGUUAGCGG
rnacentral:piRNA from 1 species